AAAGCAAAUCUAAUGAUCUCCCUGGCAAAUUCUAAGCUUUUUGGCUUAAAAGCUUUAAUAAAAGCUUUAUCUGUCUACAAUGGAAAUGUGAGUCCUUUUACACUCCCCUUUUUAUUAUUUAUUUUUUUCCCUUUGAGAUAUUCACAUAUAUAGCAUAUGUUUAUUUACAUAUGCGCAUUCAGGCAAUUUUUGAUUUUUCAUAUAUGACCUUGAAGAACUUUGCCUAUUUACUUAUACACUUCUAAGAAAGGCCUUUCUUUACAAACAAUUUCUAAAACAAACUUUCCCCCCGAAUAGAAUUACUAUCAAAAGUAAGAUGGGAAAAUUUUGGUAAAAACUCCGCAUUGAAAGUAUGCACAAUUUUCAGAUUUUACAGGGAAAUAUAUGUUAAAAAAAGAAAAAAAUCCAAGGUCAUAGACAUAAAAGCUUUUUCCUUCUCCCCCUCAGAAUUGAGACUAUUAUGUGCAUUGCUUUGAUGUCCGUGAUCUAUUCCAGAUUGGCAGAAGAAAUUUGACUUUAUUGGACAAAGGAAUCUCUGAGCCACUUGUCAUAUCAAGCAUCAAGCUUUUUUGCAACUCUUUACAGGAUACAGUGGAUUCAGUAAUUCCAACUCUCAACGCAGACGUGAUUUUAUUAGAUUUUCUCUCAGCUCAGGAAGAAAUGUUGCUCACCCUCUCGACAAUCUUACUUUGGCACCACCAACAGAGUAAAACCUGGAGAAAUGUGUAUCCUGUAUUUUUGCUUUUUUUAAAGGUUUCAAGCUCUGGCAUCAAAUUCCUAGCUGAUAUAACUACAUUCACUCCUACACUUACUAAAUCAUUGAAGCUUCUCCUCCUGUUACUUCUGACUUCACUUCAGUUCAGUUACACACAGAAAAACGAAACCGAUGAAUCUGACAGAGAACUUAACCUAUUUGCUGAUGUUUCUCUUGUGAGUGUUGGGUUGUUACCUGUGCUUUGCAAGUUUGCAGAGAAAUCAGAAUAUACUGAUCUUUCUGUGGCAUCGAUUGAUAUGAUUUUGAAGGGCUUUCUUAUUCCUAAUAUUUGGUUGCCUGUCCUACAAAAGCACUUGCGGCUGCAGCUCCUCCUCCAAAAAGUUCAAAGUAACGGCACUGAAUCCACGAGUUCAGUGAUACUUAAUUUCUUGCUGACGUUGGCAUGCACAAAGGGAGGCGCAAAGAUGCUUCAUUCAGCCAGCAUUUUUUCUUCUUUGAGGCUCCUUUUGCAGUCAACUUCUGAUGAGCCUUUUCUAUGUAAUGGUACUGUAUCACCCAUUGGCAUCGAAGGAAAGCAUGUGCAUCUCUGGCAGUUCAGCAUAGCUAUUAUUACCUCGGUGAUCUAUUCUCUUGGUGAUGAUGUGUCUUGUGCAGACGUUGUUGACAAUGCCAUCCAUUUUCUUUCAGAGAAGUUCUCCAUAAUUUCCUUUCUUUUAUCUGCGCCAACCUUUCCUAUUAAUGAUCAGAACACUAAAAGAGCACGAAAGGAGAAACAAGCUACAUCCCUUGCAUCUCUUAAUCUAAUUGAACAAGUCCUCAUGCUUAUAUGUGUUCUUGUGAGAUAUCAGGCUUCAUGGAGAAAGGGUAUGGAACAAGUAGAUUCAGAACUAAGAGAGGCUGCAAUCCACCUCGUAGCCUUUAUUAGCAAGGGAGCACAGAAGAUUGGAGAUUUAUUAAAUAGCCCACCAAUUGGAAAAGAGGAGUUUGAGCUUGAUGACCACCCGCCACUCAUUAAAAGCAAGAGUGGAUGGUUUGCUUCCGUUGUCAAUGCAACAAUUCCUAAACCCUCUCCUACACCCUUGUCACUUGUGAUCAAAGAUCAGAAGGCUAAUCAAGAGUCAACUAGUUUGGUUAAUCAGACACUUUUCACGGAGAUGGUUGCUGUACAAAUCUAUCGAAUUGCUUUUCUUGCUCUGGAAUUCCUCUGCAUACAAGCUAAAGCAGCAGUGAAUAGGGUGGAAGAAGUAGGGUUUGUUGAUCUUGCUCAUUUUCCUGAGCUUCCCAUGCCUGAAGUUCUGCAUGGAUUGCAGGUAUUAUGUAACUAUUUAUUCUUUGUUUGUGCUGAAUACUAGAAAUAGCAUUUUUGCUUUUAAAAUUCUGAAGUUUAAUUAGCUAGUAUUUCUACCAUUAUUCAUUUUGUAUGGCGUUCCAUUCUGUAUGUAAUGCAAAACCACCUCCUGCAAAGGGUUAAAUGUAGGAAGCAUGCUUGAUUUCCAACUCUUUUUCCUUGAAUAGGCCAUAGUUUUCCAAGAUUGCAGAAUUUGGAAUUGAUCUGUCCACUUCCGUGUUCUUCUUAUCUGGGAUUUAUAAUCCACAAAUUCCUGCUAGUUGUGUUGGAGAUGUCUUAUUUAAGAGAAGGCACUAAACAAUGUGAAUAAUAACUGGAAACCAGUAUAAAGUAACAACUACGAGAAGUUCACAUGAAGUCGCAAUCGCUGUGCUUUGUUUUGUUUGAUCCCUACACAAUUUUAACUUCGUUGGUUUAUUAACUUGUCAUUAUUUUUUCUUAGGAUCAAGCGAUCACUAUUGUCACUGAAGUUUGCGAAGCCAACAAGUCGAAAAGUCUUCAGAAGGAAGUCGAGAGCAUGUGUCUCCUUUUGUUACAGACUCUGGAGAAAUCCUUAUACCUUGAACUUUGUGUAUCACACUCUUGUGGGAUCCGCCCUGUCUUGGGUCGCGUUGAAGACUUUUCCAAGCAAAUUAAAGCAAUGUUUCACGGUAUUUAGCUUUUUUCCUCUGUUAUCUUUUAAGGUUAAAUUACAGAAACCACUGCCGAACUAACUCUCUUUCUAAAUUAGUCUGCUGCAUUCUAAAUUUGUUGCAAUUUCAACCUUGCACUGUACUUUCAUAUCAAAUUGGUCUAAAACUUUCGGAUAACAAGUAAAUUCUGAUACUAAACUACAUCGUAAUGGGUUCUGUACCUGAACAUCUAUUGAGGUUUCAGUUUAUGUAAUUUGAUUAAACUAACAAAACAUCUCCUCAUCUAAAAGUUACCUUAAUAUGUGGCAUAUUGGACAAUAUAUUCAAUUUAUGUGAUUCUUUCUACGAAGCACAACAGAUGUUCUAGUCUCAUUCUGGCAUUUUGGAUCAAAAUUUGUUUUGCCUUCCCAAACUUUUGUGCAUAUUUGAGGCUAUUAAGCCUCUUUCUCAGGUCUUUUGCACUUGGAAAGUUCCUUUUCUAUUGAUUGAUUAAUUUUGUGUUCCGUGCCUAUUAUCUCUAAUAUGAAUUCCAAAUAUCCCUUGUGUUACGAAAUGUUGCAGUGGUUGAACAGCACAAAAACCUCAAAGCAUCGUUAAGGUCACUGAAGCAGAUUACAACUCUUCUAUGCCCAGGAUUAUUUCAAGCUAGCAAUCUUAUCUGACUUCUUUCAUGUACAAAUUCUUAACGCCCUUUGUUCUUUUACUGUUUGAUCUAUAUACUUCCAAAUUCCAUUGUAGUUUGUUAUGUAAUAUCCUUUAAUCAUUUCUGCAGAUAAGAUUCUUUACGUGCUACUGCAGAACCUGACAAGAGGGGAAGAACAAAAAGGCCCAAGAUAUGGGAAUAGCUGUACUCGCAUGCAUGCGAAGGCUUCGGAUUCUCGUCAUCCGUGGGUAAUACUACAGACUGUUGUAUAGAGGGUUACUCUUUUUGUUGCUGUUGAGGAAAUUCGUUUCACUAAUAUAGGGACACUAAUGUGAUUUUUAACCAUCCUGGCACAUUUCUGUUUUGCCUUAUGCCGCGUGCUUGUGAGUACUUUGAAAGAAUCAGAACUUGAGCAAAUGGUGAGAUUUUUUGUAGGACGAAUGGAAAGCUUUGUUAUUUUGGAGCCAGUGUUGAUGGUGAAGAUCGGCAUCUCAUACUCAAGACUUGUGAAGACCGAAAAUCGAAGAUUGACCCUCUGGCUUUUUGCUUGAUCAUUGGAUAUCUGUGACUUCUUUUAAGUUUCAUUCUGAAUUAGCAUUUCUUUAGAUGGUUUUUGUUUAAAUGGGCGAACAACUAUUGUAUUGGAUUUGUGGUUAUGGACGGUUUUGUCUACAAGAAGGAAAUUAAGCGAAGUUAGUUCAAUUACAAGAUAUACUUCAUGGGGGGUAUGUAAAAUGCAAAUUUCUUAUGAUUGUGUUCUCUCCAUCUAAAAUCAAGGUGUCGAUGAUCAUCACGGCUACCGUUAUCGCUGCCACUGUUGUCGCUUGUUUCCAAUGUUCCACCAUCAAUCGUUAUUACUACUAUUGCCCUCCAAUCAGGAUCGGCAUCGCCGUUGCUACGACUGCUGCACCACAAGCACAGGCCACUGCCACCACCAUCGACGUAUGCAUUCUGACCGCAAGCGCCGACACUAUUUGUCAUGCUGCCACCAUUGAACACAUUGUAAUCGAAUUUUUUUUAUAAAUAAACCUAUCAAUUUUUAUAAUUAUAAAAAUAAUUUUGUUAAAAAGAUAAUUAUAAAAAUAGACCUCUAAAUGCGGUGAAUGAUUCACCGUAUUCAUAACUUCUCAUUAGGAAUAGAAAAAGGGUAAAAGCGGUAAACCAUUCACCGUUUUUNAUUACCCAUUGAAUAAGAAUAUCAUGCGCAUUAUGUAAUAUUCAUAUGCAUUCUAUGAUAUUCAUUUUAUGCUAUCCUAAGUUCUUUCUAUUUUUAGAAUAAAAUUUUAGGAAAAGACUAUUGCACUAAAAAACCCCAUUGUAAUCUCUUAUUAUGUCAUCACUAGCCUCAACAUUGUCAUUGUUUGCCAUAAAUAGUACUAUAUAUUUCAUUAAAAAAUAGAAAGAACUUAGGAUAGCAUAAAAUGAAUAUCAUAGAAUGCAUAUGAAUAUUACAUAAUGCGCAUGAUAUUCUUAUUCAAUGGGUAAUCAUUUUCACCUUUACAGGAGAAAAUAAUGAUGCUCAUUCAAAAAAUAAUCGUGCUCACCUAGUAAGUUAAUUAUAAAAUUUUAUCCCCAAGAUAUUUGUAUUAAAAAAAUAAAUUAUAAACCCUACUAUAUUUUGCCAUGUGUCUCAAAUAUCUUCCUGCGUAAAAUUAUUUAAUAAUAUUAAUUCUGUACUUUAGUGCUAUCUCAAAUAGAUUUGUUCGUUAGAAUUUGUUUAUUUUAAUAGCACGAGAAUGGGAAAUAGCCCAUUCUCCACAUUUAUCAUUAUCCAAAAUGUCGGGAUUUUUUUAUAAAAUAACUCCCUAAAAUUUUGUAAUUUACAAAAUACCUCUUCCAAAUUUAUAUUUGGAAAAUUAAUCCUCUCUUUGCCACGUGGGAUUUUUUUUGGGCAAAGGCGGUGAAUCGUUCACGGUAUUUUCUCACGCCUUUUAAAGGCGGCGAAUCGUUCAUCGCUUUCUCUCAUGUCUUUUAAAGGUGGUGAAUCGUUUACCGCUUUCAUUGUACGUGGAUUAUAUGAAAAAUAUAAAAAAGUUAGGUUGUUAGAAUUAUACGUGGAUUAUUAGAAUUUUUAUUUGAUAGUUAGGAUUGUGUAGAUAGAGGAUUUUCACGUUGUUAAGAUUAUAUGUGAUAUGUCGAAAUUUGAUUCACCGCAUUUAUUAAACUUGUACAUGGAUUAUAUGGCAAAUAGAAAAAAGUGAGGUUGUUAGGAUUAUACGUAGAUUAUUAGAAUUUUUAAUUAAUAAUUAGAAUGGUAUGGAUAGAUUAUUAGAAUUUUCAGAUUGUUAAAAUUAUAUGAAAUUGUACGGAUAGAUUAUUAGAAUUUUCAGGUUGUUAAGAUUAUAUGUGAUUUGUUGAAAUUUUUAUGUGAUGGUUAGGAUUAUAUAUGGGAUUUCGGAUAUAGAAAGAAAUAGUAAAUAAGUGAAAGACCGUGAAUAAUUCACCGCCAUUGUGGGAAAUUAGGAAAGCGGCGAAUUGUUCACCGUCUUUACGAAGACAGUGAAUUAUUCACCAUUUUUAAGAGAAAAAUUCCAACGUGGCUCUUACAUGACAAAAGAAGGGUUAGUUUGCCAAAAAAAAUUUCAUUGGUUCUUAACAUGGCAAAAGACGGGUUAGUUUGCCAAAAAAUUUUCAUUGGCUUAUUUAUCCAGUUAGAAAAUUUUAUAAGGUUAUUUUGGAAAAAAGCCUAAAUCUUGCCUUUCUCUACAUUUAUCCUUAUCCAAAAUCUUGCCUCUCUCAGUGUCUUCUCUCUCUCCCUCCUUUACUCCUAUUGCAAGUCAGUCUUCUUCUAUUUUCUUCACCUACUAAAGCUUAGAACCUUCUUCCAACAAGAAAAACGGUGUUUCCAAGUGGGAGGAGGAAGGGAGGUUGUUUUAAACUUAGCAGGUGGAGCAAUAGCAAACGAGGAGUUUGAUUUAUGAUGGGAGGAGAGGAGAGUAAGAGAGGGAGAAAGACUAGGGAGAUGAAAGCUAGGUAGGGUUUUGGAUAAAAAUAGAAGCUAGGGAAGCAAAACAUAACUUAGCAAAAUAUAGGGGAGAGGGGUUACAAGAAAGAUGGUGAUUCACCAUCUUUAUGAAAACAUUGAAUCAUUCACCGUCUUUACCUAUUCUAAUCUCCACCAAAAUUUUAACAAUAAUAAAUUUCACAACAAUAAGAAUUUCAACAUUAAAAUUUCAACAACAAGUUUCACAAUAACAAUAAUUCUUCGGGAAGAAAAAUCGGUCGGUACAGAACCCAAGGAUAACAAGGGUCUUUUUUGUUUUUUCCGAAGGGUACUUCAUGAGCGGGAAGAGCCGCGAUGAAUGUCGCAUAUUUAUAGAAUCGGUCCACCACUACUAUGAUGGGACCCAACUCUCCCACCUUAGGCAAUGCCGAGAUGAAGUCCAUGUAAUGUCAUUGCAUUACUAUAGACCAUAUUGUACUCUUCAAAGCAAACGUUGCACUACUUUCCUGCGUAAUGCAUGUAUGUUUGAGAAGAAAGUUGCACUCUUUAAAAUGAAAAUUGUACUCCUUUAGAGAGAGUUGUAUUCUUUGGGUAAGAGUUGCCAUCUUUGAGCACAAGUUCUAUUGUUUGAGAUGAAAAUUACACUUAUUGAACGAAAGUUGCACUGUUUAAAAUUAUUUGAGACUAUUGCAUAUUUAGAGACUAAGUUACAACUAAGCGGUGAGGCUGCUUCACAUGUAAGU
rnacentral:lncRNA from 1 species